rfam:Magnaporthe oryzae 70-15 chromosome 2, whole genome shotgun sequence.
GGCAAGAUGGCCGAGCGGUCUAAGGCGCCAGACUCAAGUUUAAGCGGUACAGUUCGUACUCAAUAACUUCCGCACCAUAAAUGUGGAGCAUUCUGGUCUCGAAAGAGGCGUGGGUUCAAAUCCCACUCUUGUCA